UGAGAGCGGGAGCCCGGAGAUGGGCACUGAGACAAGGGCCCAGGCCCUACGGGGCGCAGCAGUCGCGAAAACUUUGCAAUACACGAAAGUGUGACAGGGCUAUCCCGAGUGCCAUCCGCUGAGGAAGGCUUUUACCCAGUCUAGAACGCUGGGGGAAUAAGGAGAGGGCAAGUCUGGUGUCAGCCGCCGCGGUAAUACCAGCUCUCCGAGUGGUGUGGAUGUUUAUUGGGCCUAAAGCAUCCGUAGCUGGCUAAGUUAGUCCCCUGUUAAAUCCAACGAAUUAAUCGUUGGAUCGCGGGGGAUACUGCUUGGCUAGGGGACGAGAGAGGCAGACGGUAUUUCCGGGGUAGGGGUGAAAUCCUAUAAUCCCGGGAAGACCACCAGUGGCGAAGGCUGUCUGCUAGAACGCGCCCGACGGUGAGGGAUGAAAGCUGGGGGAGCGAACCGGAUUAGAUACCCGGGUAGUCCCAGCUGUAAACGAUGCAGGCUAGGUGUUUGGACGGCCACGUGCCGUUCUAGUGCCGCAGGGAAGCUGUUAAGCCUGCCGCCUGGGGAGUACGAUCGCAAGAUUGAAACUUAAAGGAAUUGGCGGGGGAGCACCACAAGGGGUGAAGCUUGCGGUUUAAUUGGAGUCAACGCCGGA
rnacentral:rRNA from 1 species